rnacentral:rRNA from 1 species
AACGAACGCUGGCGGCGCGCCUAAUACAUGCAAGUCGAGCGAGAAGACGUAGCAAUACGUUUGUAAAGCGGCGAACGGGUGAGGAAUACAUGGGCAACCUACCCUAGAGUGGGGAAUAACUAGCCGAAAGGUUAGCUAAUACCGCGUACGCUCCUUGGACUUCGGUUCAGGGAGGAAAGCGAUACCGAGGGUAUCGCGCUCUUGGAUGGGCUCAUGUCCUAUCAGCUGUUGGUGAGGUAACGGCUCACCAAGGCUUCGACGGGUAGCUGGUCUGAGAGGACGAUCAGCCACACUGGCACUGCGACACGGGCCAGACUCCUACGGGAGGCAGCAGUAAGGAAUAUUGCGCAAUGGGCGAAAGCCUGACGCAGCGACGCCGCGUGGGGGAUGAAGGUCUUCGGAUUGUAAACCCCUUUCGGGAGGGAAGAUGGAACGAGCAAUCGUUCGGACGGUACCUCCAGAAGCAGCCACGGCUAACUUCGUGCCAGCAGCCG